rnacentral:rRNA from 1 species
CAAGACAACUUUACGGAGUUGACGAUUGACGGAGCGAAGCGACGUCAAAGCGUUCAUUAAAGUCGAGUUGGCUUAGGGAUACGUUCGUUGGGUAGGGGAGCGUUCUGUAAGCCUGUGAAGGUGUGUCGUGAGGCAUGCUGGAGGUAUCAGAAGUGCGAAUGCUGACAUAAGUAACGAUAAAGCGGGUGAAAAGCCCGCUCGCCGGAAGACCAAGGGUUCCUGUCCAACGUUAAUCGGGGCAGGGUGAGUCGACCCCUAAGGCGAGGCCGAAAGGCGUAGUCGAUGGGAAACGGGUUAAUAUUCCCGUACUUGGUGUUACUGCGAAGGGGGGACGGAGAAGGCUAUGUUGGCCGGGCGACGGUUGUCCCGGUUUAAGCGUGUAGGUGUGUGUUCCAGGUAAAUCCGGUUCACUUUAACACUGAGGCGUGACGACGAGGCACUACGGUGCUGAAGCAACAAAUGCCCUGCUUCCAGGAAAAGCCUCUAAGCAUCAGGUAACACGAAAUCGUACCCCAAACCGACACAGGUGGUCAGGUAGAGAAUACCAAGGCGCUUGAGAGAACUCGGGUGAAGGAACUAGGCAAAAUGGUGCCGUAACUUCGGGAGAAGGCACGCUGACACGUAGGUGAAGUGAUUUACUCAUGGAGCUGAAGUCAGUCGAAGAUACCAGCUGGCUGCAACUGUUUAUUAAAAACACAGCACUGUGCAAACACGAAAGUGGACGUAUACGGUGUGACGCCUGCCCGGUGCCGGAAGGUUAAUUGAUGGGGUCAGCGUAAGCGAAGCUCCUGAUCGAAGCCCCGGUAAACGGCGGCCGUAACUAUAACGGUCCUAAGGUAGCGAAAUUCCUUGUCGGGUAAGUUCCGACCUGCACGAAUGGCGUAAUGAUGGCCAGGCUGUCUCCACCCGAGACUCAGUGAAAUUGAACUCGCUGUGAAGAUGCAGUGUACCCGCGGCAAGACGGAAAGACCCCGUGAACCUUUACUAUAGCUUGACACUGAACAUUGAGCCUUGAUGUGUAGGAUAGGUGGGAGGCUUUGAAGUGUGGACGCCAGUCUGCAUGGAGCCGACCUUGAAAUACCACCCUUUAAUGUUUGAUGUUCUAACGUGGACCCGUAAUCCGGGUUGCGGACAGUGUCUGGUGGGUAGUUUGACUGGGGCGGUCUCCUCCUAAAGAGUAACGGAGGAGCACGAAGGUUGGCUAAUCCUGGUCGGACAUCAGGAGGUUAGUGCAAUGGCAUAAGCCAGCUUGACUGCGAGCGUGACGGCGCGAGCAGGUGCGAAAGCAGGUCAUAGUGAUCCGGUGGUUCUGAAUGGAAGGGCCAUCGCUCAACGGAUAAAAGGUACUCCGGGGAUAACAGGCUGAUACCGCCCAAGAGUUCAUAUCGACGGCGGUGUUUGGCACCUCGAUGUCGGCUCAUCACAUCCUGGGGCUGAAGUAGGUCCCAAGGGUAUGGCUGUUCGCCAUUUAAAGUGGUACGCGAGCUGGGUUUAGAACGUCGUGAGACAGUUCGGUCCCUAUCUGCCGUGGGCGCUGGAGAACUGAGGGGGGCUGCUCCUAGUACGAGAGGACCGGAGUGGACGCAUCACUGGUGUUCGGGUUGUCAUGCCAAUGGCACUGCCCGGUAGC